rnacentral:rRNA from 1 species
AGCGAACGCUGGCGGCAGGCCUAACACAUGCAAGUCGAACGAACCUUCGGGUUAGUGGCGGACGGGUGAGUAACACGUGGGAACGUACCUUUUGGUUCGGAAUAACGCAGAGAAAUUUGCGCUAAUACCGAAUGUGCCCUUCGGGGGAAAGAUUUAUCGCCAUUAGAGCGGCCCGCGUUAGAUUAGCUAGUUGGUGAGGUAAAGGCUCACCAA